GACAGAGGUGCCGAGCGUUAGGCGGAAUUACUGGGCGUAAAGCGUGCGCAGGCGGUUCGUUAUGUCCGAUGUGAAAGCCCCGAGCUCAACUUGGGAAUGGCAUUGGAAACUGGCGGGCUGGAGUGUGGCAGAGGGGGGUGGAAUUCCACGUGUAGCAGUGAAAUGCGUAGAGAUGUGGAGGAACACCGAUGGCGAAGGCAGCCCCCUGGGCCAACACUGACGCCUCAGGCACGAAAGCGUGGGGAGCAAACAGG
rnacentral:rRNA from 1 species